rnacentral:lncRNA from 1 species
AGAACUUGAGAGGUGAUGAGCGAUUGAGAGUGAAUAGUGAAGUUUGAGAGAGAGGCGAGUUGGAGAGCGGUCGAGAGUGGUGAGAAGAAGAGAGCGUUCGAGUGAGAUGGAGAGAGCUCAAAGACGAUGAAUGGUUUCUGUUCCCAUUUUUUUUUCUUUUUAUUUGUUUCUUUAUAUUUGUUAAUAAAAUAAACAUUGAAACCUUUAAAACUUUUACGUUUAAUCUUCCCAUGCUUAGAUAAUGGUGUUUUUAGUUAAUACUGUACAUUAACAUAUCAUUUUUGGUAUUCCCAACCCAUUAACCUCUAGAACCCAACAGCCAGGCGGCUGGUUUUUUUUGGGUAAUCCAACAAAUCUUUUUUUUAUUAUUAUUUUAGUUUUUAUUUUUUUUUAUUUUUUUUGUUCCAAUCUUUUCUGACUUAUAUACCCAAGUGGUUAUUGUAAAUAAUAACUAACCAUGAGUGGCCUAGUGGAGAGAGGGUAGUUUCAUGGUCUUUAGUGGAGCGGGUUCAAUACUUGGGGAUAGCCAAUUUUUGUGUUUAUAUUUGUUAUGUUUAUUAUUUUAUUUAAUUUCUUUUUCUAUAUAGUACCUUGCUAUUUAUUUUAAUUAUAGGUUAUUAAUACCCAUUUCCAUACCCUUGUAAGUCGAUUGCUUUUUAAGCAUCGCCAUCAACCUCACAUAGCUUACUCUUGGGCUUUCUUACAAUGAGUCAGUUCUCUUGCACUUACACUCAUACAUUGCAUUAUAUGUUGUUUGGGCCCGAUUUAAUUAUUUC